rnacentral:misc_RNA from 1 species
UUCCAAUAGGGAGAAGGGAGAGGUAGAAAAAAAGAAACAAGAAAACAAAGAAGAAGAAAAGAAACCAACCCUCUUAUAUGUUAUCACAAAUUGGUGUUGAGAAGUGGGAAAAUGUUGAAAAUGUCAAACAUUAUGGUGGUGUUUUUGGGUUUGUUUUUGUGGGUUUGUUCUUCUGGAAUGGCUUCUGUAACUUAUGACCACAAAGCCAUAAUCAUCGAUGGCCGGAGGAGAAUUUUGAUUUCUGGUUCUAUUCAUUAUCCAAGAAGCACUCCUCAGAUGUGGCCAGAGCUUAUACAGAAGGCUAAAGAUGGAGGGUUGGAUGUUAUUGAGACAUAUGUGUUUUGGAAUGGCCAUGAGCCUUCUCCUGGACAGUAUUAUUUUGAGGAUAGAUAUGACUUGGUGAGAUUUGUAAAGCUGGUUCAACAAGCAGGCUUAUAUGUUCAUCUACGGAUUGGCCCAUAUGUUUGUGCAGAAUGGAACUUUGGUGGAUUUCCUGUUUGGUUAAAGUAUGUUCCUGGGAUUGCCUUUAGGACUGACAAUGGACCCUUCAAGGCGGCUAUGCAAAAAUUCACUGAGAAGAUUGUCAGCAUGAUGAAGGGGGAGAAGUUAUAUCAUAGCCAAGGAGGACCCAUUAUUCUGUCUCAGAUUGAGAAUGAAUAUGGACCAGUGGAGUGGGAAAUAGGUGCUCCUGGUAAAUCUUACACCAAAUGGGCUGCUCAAAUGGCAGUAGGUCUUGACACUGGAGUACCAUGGGUGAUGUGCAAGCAAGAGGAUGCCCCUGACCCUGUGAUUGACACCUGCAAUGGGUUUUACUGUGAAAACUUUGAACCGAACAAGGUCUAUAAACCCAAAAUGUGGACAGAAGCCUGGACUGGUUGGUUCACUGAGUUUGGAGGCCCAGUUCCUUAUAGGCCAGUUGAAGACUUGGCCUAUUCUGUUGCAAGAUUCAUUCAGAAUCGUGGUUCUUUCAUUAAUUAUUAUAUGUACCAUGGAGGGACUAACUUUGGCCGAACUGCUGGCGGACCUUUCAUCGCCACUAGCUAUGACUAUGAUGCUCCCAUCGAUGAAUAUGGCCUAUUAAGGGAACCAAAAUGGGGUCAUCUAAGAGAUCUGCACAAAGCAAUCAAGUUAUGCGAACCCGCUUUAGUAUCGGUAGAUCCUACUGUGUCAUCGUUAGGAAGCAAGCAAGAGGCUCAUGUCUUCAAGACAAGAUCAGGGGCGUGUGCUGCUUUUCUAGCAAACUAUGAUCCAUCAUCGUCUGCUAGAGUCACCUUUGGAAAUAAACCAUAUGACCUGCCACCUUGGUCCGUCAGCAUCCUUCCUGACUGCAAAUCUGUCAUUUUCAACACGGCAAAAGUCAAUGCUCCAAGCUCACAGCCUAAGAUGACGCCAAUUAGUUCAUUUUCAUGGCUUUCGUACAAUGAAGAGACUGCUUCUGCGUAUGCUGAUGAUACAACCACCAUGGCUGGGUUAGUAGAGCAAAUAAGUGUAACCAGGGAUGCCACAGAUUAUUUGUGGUAUAUGACAGAUAUAAGGAUCGACUCGAAUGAAGGCUUCUUAAAGAGUGGACAAUGGCCUCUUCUCACUAUCUUUUCAGCAGGCCAUGCUUUGCAUGUGUUCAUAAAUGGCCAACUAUCUGGAACUGUAUAUGGGGG